CCUACGGGUGGCAGCAGUGAGGAAUAUUGGUCAAUGGGCGAGAGCCUGAACCAGCCAAGUCGCGUGAAGGAUGACGGCCCUACGGGUUGUAACCUUCUUUUGUCAGGGAGCAAUUGAGUCCACGUGUGGGCUUAGCGAGAGUACCUGAAGAAAAAGCAUCGGCUAACUCCGUGCCAGCAGCCGCGGUAAUACGGAGGAUGAGAGCGUUAUCCGGAUUUAUUGGGUUUAAAGGGUGCGUAGGCGGAAUAUCAAGUCAGCGGUAAAAGUUCGGGGCUCAACCCCGUCGGGCCGUUGAAACUGGGGUUCUUGAGUGGGCGAGAAGUAUGCGGAAUGCGUGGUGUAGCGGUGAAAUGCAUAGAUAUCACGCAGAACUCCGAUUGCGAAGGCAGCAUACCGGCGCCCAACUGACGCUGAAGCACGAAAGCGUGGGUAUCGAACAGGAUUAGAUACCCCUGUAGUC
rnacentral:rRNA from 1 species